UACGUAGGCAGCAAGCGUUGUUCGGAGUUACUGGGCGUAAAGGGUGCGUAGGCGGCUUCUUAAGUCUGGUGUGAAAUCUCCCGGCUCAACUGGGAGGGUGCGCCGGAUACUGAGGGGCUAGAGUGUGGGAGAGGAAAGUGGAAUUCCUGGUGUAGCGGUGAAAUGCGUAGAUAUCAGGAGGAACACCGGUGGUGUAAACGGCUUUCUGGACCAUAACUGACGCUGAGGCACGGAAGCGUGGGUAGCAAACAGG
rnacentral:rRNA from 1 species